UGUCUCCUCCACCUCCUCUAACGGUGGAUUCAGCCCCAAGCCCCAGCGGCUCGGGGCUUUUUUU
rnacentral:ncRNA from 1 species